rnacentral:rRNA from 1 species
AACGAACGCUGGCGGCAGGCCUAACACAUGCAAGUCGAGCGCACUUAUGACCUUCGGGUUAUAGGCGAGCGGCGGACGGGUUAGUAACGCGUGGGAACGUACCCUUUACUACGGAAUAGCCUUUGGAAACGAAGAGUAAUACCGUAUACGCCCUUUGGGGGAAAGAUUUAUCGGUAAAGGAUCGGCCCGCGUAAGAUUAGAUAGUUGGUGGGGUAAUGGCCUACCAAGUCUACGAUCUUUAGCUGGUUUGAGAGGAUGAUCAGCAACACUGGGACUGAGACACGGCCCAGACUCCUACGGGAGGCAGCAGUGGGGAAUCUUAGACAAUGGGCGAAAGCCUGAUCUAGCCAUGCCGCGUGAGUGAAGAAGGCCCUAGGGUCGUAAAACUCUUUCGCCAGAGAUGAUAAUGACAGUAUCUGGUAAAGAAACCCCGCUAAC